rnacentral:rRNA from 1 species
CCUACGGGUGGCAGCAGUGGGGGAUAUUGGACAAUGGGGGAAACCCUGAUCCAGCGACGCCGCGUGAGUGAAGAAGUAUUUCGGUAUGUAAAGCUCUAUCAUCAGGGAAGAAAGAAAUGACGGUACAUGAGUAGAAGCCCCGGCGAACUACGCGCGAGCAGCCGCGGUAAUACGUAGGGGGCAAGCGUUAUCCGGAAUCACUGGGUGUAAAGGGAGCGUAGACGGUAAUGCAAGUCUGGAGUGAAAGGCGGAGGCGCACCCGGAGGACUGCUCUGGAAACUGUGUGACUGGAGUGCAGGAGAGGCAGGCGGAAUUCCUAGUGUAGCGGUGAAAUGCGUAGAUAUUAGGAGGAACACCAGUGGCGAAGGCGGCCUGCUGGACUGUAACUGACGUUGAGGCUCGAAAGCGUGGGGAGCAAACAGGAUUAGAUACCCCAGUAGUC